GGGUGCUUGGUUCUCUUUCAGGAAGAGCAAGGUGAAGUAAAGGCAAAUCCUCCCUAUUAUUAAGGCGAGUAAUAAAAUUAUUUAAUGCCUGCCUCUCUCCC